AACGAGCGCUGGCGGCAGGCUUAACACAUGCAAGUCGAGCGCCCCGCAAGGGGAGCGGCAGACGGGUGAGUAACGCGUGGGAAUCUACCCAUCUCUACGGAAUAACGCAUGGAAACGUGUGCUAAUACCGUAUACGUCCUUCGGGAGAAAGAUUUAUCGGAGAUGGAUGAGCCCGCGUUGGAUUAGCUAGUUGGUGGGGUAAAGGCCUACCAAGGCGACGAUCCAUAGCUGGUCUGAGAGGAUGAUCAGCCACACUGGGACUGAGACACGGCCCAGACUCCUACGGGAGGCAGCAGAGGGGAAUAUUGGACAAUGGGCGCAAGCCUGAUCCAGCCAUGCCGCGUGAGUGAUGAAGGCCCUAGGGUUGUAAAGCUCUUUCACCGGUGAAGAUAAUGACGGUAACCGGAGAAGAAGCCCCGGCUAACUUCGUGCCAGCCGCCGCAGUAACAC
rnacentral:rRNA from 1 species